CAGCAGCCGCGGUAAUGCGAAGGGUGCAAGCGUUAAUCGGAAUUACUGGGCGUAAAGCGUGCGUAGGCGGUUCGUUAAGUCUGUUGUGAAAGCCCCGGGCUCAACCUGGGAAUGGCAAUGGAUACUGGCGAGCUAGAGUGUGUCAGAGGAUGGUGGAAUUCCCGGUGUAGCGGUGAAAUGCGUAGAGAUCGGGAGGAACAUCAGUGGCGAAGGCGGCCAUCUGGGACAACACUGACGCUGAGGCACGAAAGCGUGGGGAGCAAACAGGAUUAGAUACCCCGGUAGUCCCUGUCUCUUAUAC
rnacentral:rRNA from 1 species